rnacentral:rRNA from 1 species
AACGAACGCUGGCGGCAUGCCUAACACAUGCAAGUCGAACGAGACCUUCGGGUCUAGUGGCGCACGGGUGCGUAACGCGUGGGAACCUGCCCUUAGGUUCGGAAUAACUCCCCGAAAGGGGUGCUAAUACCGGAUAAUGUCUUCGGACCAAAGAUUUAUCGCCUUUGGAUGGGCCCGCGUUGGAUUAGCUAGUUGGGAGGGUAAAAGCCUACCAAGGCGACGAUCCAUAGCUGGUCUGAGAGGAUGAUCAGCCACACUGGGACUGAGACACGGCCCAGACUCCUACGGGAGGCAGCAGUGGGGAAUAUAGGACAAUGGGCGAAAGCCUGAUCCAGCAAUGCCGCGUGAGUGAUGAUGGCCUUAGGGUUGUAAAGCUCUUUUACCCGGGAUGAUAAUGACAGUACCGGGAGAAUAAGCUCCGGCUAACUCCGUG